rnacentral:rRNA from 1 species
GAUGAACGCUAGCUACAGGCUUAACACAUGCAAGUCGAGGGGAAGCGGCAUCGAAAGCUUGCUUUUGAUGGGCGUCGACCGGCGCACGGGUGAGUAACGCGUAUCCAACCUGCCCAUCACUUGGGAAUAACCUUGCGAAAGUAAGACUAAUGCCCAAUGACAUCCCACGAAGGCAUCCGAAUGGGAUUAAAGAUUUAUCGGUGAUGGAUGGGGAUGCGUCUGAUUAGCUUGUUGGCGGGGUGACGGCCCACCAAGGCAACGAUCAGUAGGGGUUCUGAGAGGAAGGUCCCCCACAUUGGAACUGAGACACGGUCCAAACUCCUACGGGAGGCAGCAGUGAGGAAUAUUGGUCAAUGGGCGAGGGCCUGAACCAGCCAAGUAGCGUGCAGGAUGACGGCCCUAUGGGUUGUAAACUGCUUUUAUAAGGGAAUAAAGUGGGUCACGUGUGACUUUUUGCAUGUACCUUAUGAAUAAGGACCGGCUAAUUCCGUG